rnacentral:rRNA from 1 species
GACGUAGGGCGCGAGCGUUGUCCGGAUUUAUUGGGCGUAAAGAGCUCGUAGGCGGCUUGUUGCGUCAGCUGUGAAAACCCGCAGCUCAACUGUGGGCUUGCAGCUGAUACGGGCAGGCUUGAGUUCGGUAGGGGAGACUGGAAUUCCUGGUGUAGCGGUGAAAUGCGUAGAGAUCGGGAGGAACACCCGUGGCGAAGGCGGCUCACUGGGCCGGUCCUGACGCUGAGACGCGAAGGCGUGGGGAGCGAACGGG